rfam:Triticum aestivum genome assembly, contig: Triticum_aestivum_CS42_TGACv1_scaffold_342703_4DL
AUACUACUCCCUUCGUCUUAAAAAUUCUUGUCUUAAAUUUGUUUAAGUACGGAUGUAUCAAGUGUCACAUUUCAGUAUUAGAUACAUCCGUAUAUAAACAAAUUUAAGAUAAGAAUUUUGGGACGGAAGGUACCAU